UCGAAAUCAGUUCAUGAUGCCCAAAGA
rnacentral:piRNA from 1 species